AACGAACGCUGGCGGCAGGCCUAACACAUGCAAGUCGAGCGCGCCUUCGGGUGAGCGGCGGCCGGGUGAGUACCGCGUGGGAAUAUGCCCUUCUCUACGGAAUAGUCCUGGGAAACUGGGGGUAAUACCGUAUACGCCCUUUGGGGGAAAGAUUUAUCGGGGAAGGAUUAGCCCGCGUUGGAUUAGGUAGUUGGUGGGGUAAUGGCCUACCAAGCCGACGAUCCAUAGCUGGUUUGAGAGGAUGAUCAGCCACACUGGGACUGAGACACGGCCCAGACUCCUACGGGAGGCAGCAGUGGGGAAUCUUAGACAAUGGGGGCAACCCUGAUCUAGCCAUGCCGCGUGAGUGAUGAAGGCCUUAGGGUUGUAAAGCUCUUUCAGCUGGGAAGAUAAUGACGGUACCAGCAGAAGAAGCCCCGGCUAACUCCGUG
rnacentral:rRNA from 1 species